CCUACGGGAGGCAGCAGUGGGGAAUUUUCCGCAAUGGGCGAAAGCCUGACGGAGCAAUACCGCGUGAGGGAAGACUGCCUAUGGGUUGUAAACCUCUUUUUUCAGGGAGGAAUAAAAUGACGUGUACCUGAAGAAUAAGCAUCGGCUAACUCCGUGCCAGCAGCCGCGGUAAGACGGAGGAUGCAAGUGUUAUCCGGAAUCACUGGGCGUAAAGCGUCUGUAGGUGGUUUAAUAAGUCAACUGUUAAAUCUUGAGGCUCAACUUCAAAACCGCAGUCGAAACUAUUAGACUAGAGUAUAGUAGAGGUAAAGGGAAUUUCCAGUGGAGCGGUGAAAUGCGUAGAUAUUAGAAAGAACACCGAUGGCGAAAGCACUUUACUGGGCUAUUACUAACACUCAGAGACGAAAGCUAGGGUAGCAAAUGGGAUUAGAUACCCCAGUAGUCCUAGCCGUAAACUAUGGAUACUAGAUGUUGAACAGAUCGACCUGUGCAGUAUCAAAGCUAACGCGUUAAGUAUCCCGCCUGGGAAGUAUGCUCGCAAGAGUUGAAACCUNAAUNAUAGAGNGNGAGAGNGCGACGACGACGACGAGGAGAGG
rnacentral:rRNA from 1 species